UACGUAGGGGGGCAAGCGUUUGUCCGGAAUCAUUGGGCGUAAAGAGCGUGUAGGCGGCUCGGUAAGUCCGCUGUGAAAGUCCAGGGCUCAACCCUGGAAUGCCGGUGGAAACUGUCGAAGCUAGAGUCCCGGAAGAGGCGAAGUGGAAUUCCUGGUGUAGCGGUGAAAUGCGCAGAUAUCAGGAGGAAUACCAAUGGCGAAGGCAGCUCGCUGGGACGGUACUGACGCUGAGACGCGAAAGCGUGGGGAGCAAACAGGAUUGAGAU
rnacentral:rRNA from 1 species